rnacentral:rRNA from 1 species
CCCUGGCUCAGAACGAACGCUGGCGGCAUGCCUAACACAUGCAAGUCGAACGAGAUCUUCGGGUCUAGUGGCGCACGGGUGCGUAACGCGUGGGAAUCUGCCCAAAAGUUCGGAAUAACUCAGGGAAAUUUGUGCUAAUACCGGAUAAUGACGCAAGGCCAAAGAUUUAUCGCCUUUGGAUGAGCCCGCGUAGGAUUAGCUUGUUGGUGGGGUAAAGGCCUACCAAGGCAACGAUCCUUAGCUGGUCUGAGAGGAUGAUCAGCCACACUGGGACUGAGACACGGCCCAGACUCCCACGGGAGGCAGCAGUGGGGAAUAUUGGACAAUGGGCGAAAGCCCGAUCCAGCAAUGCCGCGUGAGUGAAGAAGGGCUUCGGGUUGUAAAGCUCUUUUGCCCGGGAAGCGAUAAUGACUGUACCGGGAGAAUAAGCCCCGGCUAACUCCGUGCCAGCAGCCGCGGUAAG